rnacentral:lncRNA from 1 species
CCAAGCCUAAGACAGCUUGGCCCAAGUUCCUUGAAUUCUGACAGAAUAUAACAGAAAUGCCUGCUCUGCACUAUGGAGGAAAGCUGUCAUCUUUUAAUUUGUUCUCAAAUUUCACUAGGAUGAGAUAUUUUGACACUGUGCAUCAAACAUAUAUGAACAGCCAUGUGACAGACUUUCUUCUCUACAGGAAGAAUGGUGCUCCUCCAUCACAGCUACAUUCCAGAUAAGAACACAAUUACUCCUAACUUCAGAAGGCCCAUUUUUUAUGGACAAAUGAUUGUUCCUUGCCUGAAUUAGUUAGAAUUUUUUGAGAGUCUGGAGUGGCAGAUGUUUCAUAGAGAGAAAGGAAAAACAAAGCUUGAAAACUUCUGUAGGCCUGAGAGUGUUAGCCAUCAACCUGUGACAUUUUUUUAUAAAACAUAGCAAAAAUUGAAGCCAGUGGUAUCUUUUUUGGGGGUGUUGGGGAGAGGAACAUGAUAGUAGGAAAGCUGCUUUGAAUUAGACUGCGUUUCUCUUAGAUAAACCAGAAAUAUUUUUUAAAUUCUCUAAAUGUGCUAACCUUUCCUCAUUUGUAGUAAAACCAGAAAGUUGUUAUCGGCACACAUGAAUAACUAGCACAGGCCAUGUAUAAUUUAUUAUAGGCAUAGGCAAAAGCACAUCACCAAAGUGAAUGUAAUAUUUAAACACUUUAAGAUAUCUAUACUACAGUACAUGCAAGACGUAAUUUAUUUUACAGCACAAUACUUUCUUCUUUUCCAUUAAAACUUUAAUUAGUGGGUGAUGCAAGGAUUGUUUAUUUGUUUUUCUUUUGAUUUUUAAUUUUAUUUUCACUCGGUCAUUCAGAGUUUUAUUCAACAGAUCCACAUCCUCAGAGUACUGUAAAACAAGGAAAUGCUGUAGACACUGCUAGGAUGAGAGGAGAAUGAUUCAGGCAAAAUGAGAGUCUUUGAAUGCAAACAGUGCAAAGCAGAACAGUGGAUCAGUUCUUGUAUGAAAUAUAUGUGCCAAAAUAUUCAACAGACUGAGAUAUCACUGACAUCUGUUUCCUCCUUAUCCACUCCUGCACAGGCCGGCAUCAGGACUUACAGUAGAAGACAGUCCUUGAAGUCCAGCUAAAAUCAUGUCUUUCUCAAAUUUGUCAUGAUUGCUCCCAAGAAGUACACAGGCUUAUACAGUAGACUUCUUAAAUGCAGUGUCUUGCUAACAACACAAGCUUGCUGGGUUACCAUUUUCUGUAUUUUAAUUCCCAUUUAAUUACUUAAACCUAGUAAAUUCUGUUUAAUUAGAAGAUACAAGUUACUUGGCUAAACUUCAAAAAAAGCAUCCAGUUCUGAUUUAAAGCGGAAAAAAAA